GAGAGAGCGAGACGGGUGUGGGUGUGUGUGAGAGAGAGACGGGUGCGGGUGUGUGUAUGUGAGAGAGAGACGGGUGUGGGUGUGUGUAUGUGGCUGUGUGUGUGAGGGGUAGUUGGGAAACGGGGAACCGAAAAUCCGACCGCUCCCUUGGUGAAUGACCGAGCCAGCAGCUGCCGGUCCUCGCAGAAACACGUUUAUAUGGUACAUCUCCGUGCUAAGUAUGGGACCAGCUACGUGCUUUUGCUGCUUAUUUUCAGAUACUUACUGCUACAGUUUACCCAAACAAAACACGCCAGCGAUUUUAUUGUUAACGAAGACAGUUCUCUCCUCCCCAAAAGCACCUUGACUGAUUCAUUCACACUGCAAACCAGUACUCAAGGUGGAAACGCUGCAGCUAGUGGACUGGAUACAAACUGUGCUGAGACGAUGUAUUUGCUGACACCUGGGUCUAAACUGCACGGUGAAAGUUACUGGGAGUGCACUGUGUGUUUGCUGGGAGAGAGGAAUCUAUAAUCUGUUAGCCGUUAAACACACUCGAUGGUUGGAAAAUAAAGCUUUCCCAACUUCAA